GAAAGUAAGAUUAAUACCCGGCGGUCUCGGAUGGCCGCAUGACUGUCCGAGUGAAGAUUUAUCGGUAUGAGAUGGCGAUGCGUCCCAUUAGCUUGUUGGUGAGGUAACGGCUCACCAAGGCAUCGAUGGGUAGGGGUUCUGAGAGGAAGGUCCCCCACAUUGGAACUGAGACACGGUCCAAACUCCUACGGGAGGCAGCAGUGAGGAAUAUUGGUCAAUGGACGAAAGUCUGAACCAGCCAAGUAGCGUGCAGGAUGACGGCCCUCUGGGUUGUAAACUGCUUUUAGUUGGGAAUAAAAAGAGGGACGUGUCCCUUAUUGUAUGUACCAUCAGAAAAAGGACCGGCUAAUUCCGUGCCAGCAGCCGCGGUAAUACGGAAGGUCCAGGCGUUAUCCGGAUUUAUUGGGUUUAAAGGGAGCGCAGGCGGCGGCGUAAGUCAGUUGUGAAAUCGUGCGGCUUAACCGUGCAAUUGCAGUUGAUACUGCGUCGCUUGAGUGCACACAGGGAUGUUGGAAUUCAAGGUGUAGCGGUGAAAUGCUUAGGUAUCAUGAAGAACUCCGAUCGCGGAGGCAUAUGUCCGGAGUGCAACUGACGCUGAGGCUCGAAAGUGUGGGUAUCAAACAGGAUUAGAUACCCUGGUAGUCCACACAGUAAACGAUGAAUACUCGCGGUUGGUUCGUUAGAAUCAGCCGC
rnacentral:rRNA from 1 species